rnacentral:rRNA from 1 species
UACGUAGGGGGCUAGCGUUGUCCGGAAUCAUUGGGCGUAAAGCGCGUGUAGGCGGUCCGGUAAGUCCGCUGUGAAAGUCGAGGGCUCAACCCUCGAAUGCCGGUGGAUACUGUCGGGCUAGAGUACGGAAGAGGCGAGUGGAAUUCCUGGUGUAGCGGUGAAAUGCGCAGAUAUCAGGAGGAACACCGGUGGCGAAGGCGCACAUCUGGCCCGAUACUGACGCUGAAGCGCGAAAGCUAGGGGAGCAAACGGG